ACUUAAUUAGUAUAAUAACAAGUACAUUUAAUUUCCAAUUAAAAAGUUAAUAAAUAAUUAAGUA
rnacentral:tRNA from 1 species